UACAGAGGUCUCAAGCGUUGUUCGGAUUCAUUGGGCGUAAAGGGUGCGUAGGCGGCGCGGUAAGUCGGGUGUGAAAUCUUUCGGCUUAACCGGAAAAGGGCUUCGGAAACGGCUGGUCUUGAGGGAGGUAGGGGCAGGUGGAACUUCCGGUGGAGCGGUGAAAUGCGUUGAGAUCGGAAGGAACGCCGGUGGCGAAAGCGACCUGCUGGACCUCUUCUGACGCUGAGGCGCGAAAGCCAGGGGAGCAAACGGG
rnacentral:rRNA from 1 species